AGAGGUGGCAAGCGUUGUUCGGAAUUACUGGGCGUAAAGGGCGCGUAGGUGGCCUUCUUAGUCAGACGUGAAAUCCCCGGGCUUAACUCGGGAACUGCGUCUGAUAYUGGAAGGCUGGAGUUCGGGAGAGGAAUGUGGAAUUCCAGGUGUAGCGGUGAAAUGCGUAGAUAUCUGGAGGAACACCGGUGGCGAAGGCGGCAUUCUGGACCGAAACUGACGCUGAGGCGCGAAAGCCAGGGGAGCAAACGGGAUUAGAUACCCCGGUAGUCCUGGCCCUAAACGAUGAGUGCUUGGUGUGGCGGGUAUCGAUCCCUGCCGUGCCGAAGCUAACGCAUUAAGCACUCCGCCUGGGGAGUACGGUCGCAAGGCUG
rnacentral:rRNA from 1 species